CCUACGGGUGGCAGCAGUGAGGAAUAUUGGUCAAUGGGCGGAAGUCUGAACCAGCCAAGUAGCGUGCAGGAUGACGGCCCUACGGGUUGUAAACUGCUUUUAUACGGGAAUAACGCGCCUUACGUGUAGGGUUUUGCAUGUACCGUAUGAAUAAGGACCGGCUAAUUCCGUGCCAGCAGCCGCGGUAAUACGGAAGGUCCGGGCGUUAUCCGGAUUUAUUGGGUUUAAAGGGAGCGUAGGCCGCAUGUCAAGCGUGCUGUGAAAUGUCCGGGCUCAACCCGGGCCUUGCAGCGCGAACUGGCGUGCUUGAGUCCGCGGAAGGCAGGCAGAAUUCGUCGUGUAGCGGUGAAAUGCUUAGAUAUGACGAAGAACCCCGAUGGCGAAGGCAGCUUGCUGCAGCGGAACUGACGCUGAUGCUCGAAAGCGCGGGUAUCGAACAGGAUUAGAUACCCCGGUAGUC
rnacentral:rRNA from 1 species